UUUGUCCAGAAUCUAGAUAGAGUAGUCCAAAGUAUAUAUAUAUCUAUAUGUAUAUGUUUACCUUGGUGACGGUAGACCUUCUUUUCCAGAGAAGUAGCUCUGCACCGUCCCCCCCGAGAGCAGAAGGACGGAGCCUCCCCAGCCAACGAAGAGCGCGGCUCCAAGUUCAAAUCUGAACAGCAAAUAUGGAGUCAUGGCUUGUUUUUGUGCACUUUCACUCACAGGGGGCCUUGUCAUAAUAUGACAAUAUGCAAAAGCUACUCACUUCUGUGCCCUGAAAUGUGGAUCCAAAUACUCUCGUACGACUUUGUUGGCCCACCACGAGUAGGUUAUCCCGCCUGCGAACGUCACCCUGGCGUUGGCGAGCUCCGAGCCGCCUAUUUUAGUACAUUUCAUCCCGACGAGCGUGAGGACGCUUCCGAAGAAUCCCGUGAUGACGGCGCACACGGCCAGCGCUCUGCAGCCGUGAAGACGACCCUACCCGGCAGGCCCAGCAUGGAGGGGUAGUCCUUGCAGUCGGAGACCCCCGUGGUGUCGGAGAUACAGUCCUUCCACAGGUUGGAGUAGUAGUUGGAGGUGGUCAACACGAUGCUGCCCACCUCCGAGAAAGUCCAGUACUCGGUCGGGAGCGUGGAGCACACCAGGAUCCAGCCGCACAGACAGGACACCAGGCAGCCGAUCUCCAUGUACAUCACCACCAUCCUCUGGGUCAUGGUGAGAGCAGAUCUCUAGGAUGUGGAGAUGAGAGGCUUUGACAAGUUGUCGGCGAGGGAAACGGGACCGAGCGCCCUGAUGCGGAGGCGUCACACCUGCACUGUGGAUGUUUGCUUGUAGCUCGUCUUAUCUUUCAGGCAGUUUUGCCCAGUCAGCAUCCUCCUCGUUCCCAGGACUCCGGUGAGGGAUUACGUCUUCAUGAAUCCUUCUGCCACCGGAGUUUUGUUUUACUGCCUCAGUUUAAAAAAAGCAACUUGUUUUAUCCGAUGAAGAUGAAAAACAGAUGACAAUAAAGAAGUGCUACAAAACAAAA